GAUAGAAGCCUCUGCAUUGACAUCUUAAUCACAACAAAUAUUUCAAAGCUGGGGAUGUAUGGCAAAUAUUAGUUGCACGAAUUCCAGUCCUUGAGUGUGUCUACAAGUGGAUUCAGGCUUAGCCUGUUAUACUCGGUCUUCAAACUGAACGGCAAUGCACUGGUCCUGGAAAGAUUGGGAGUGAUCUUAGUGCCAGAAAGAAACAACCUUAGGGGUGCAGGGGACCAGUGGAGCAGGUUGUAAAAAGUAAGCCCCUUCCAGUAAAAUUGAUAGCU